rnacentral:rRNA from 1 species
AUUGAACGCUGGCGGCAGGCUUAACACAUGCAAGUCGAGCGAGAGGAGGACGGGUGAGUAAUGUAUGGGAACCUGCCUGAUGGAGGGGGAUAACUACUGGAAACGGUAGCUAAUACCGCAUACCAUCAGAUGUGCCCAGAUGGGCUUAGCUAGUGGGUGGGGGAAUGGCUAACCUAGGCGAAGAUCCCUAGCCGGUCUGAGAGGAUGACCAGCCACACUGGAACUGAGACACGGUCCAGACUCCUACGGGAGGCAGCAGUGGGGAAUAUUGCACAAUGGGCGCAAGCCUGAUGCAGCCAUGCCGCGUGUGUGAAGAAGGCCUUCGGGUUGUAAAGCACUUUCAGCGAGGAGGCGUUACUCGCAGAAGAAGCACCGGCUAACUCCGUGCCAGCAGCCGCGGUAAUUC